GACGAAGGAUGCAAGCGUUAUCCGGAUUCAUUGGGUUUAAAGGGAGCGUAGGCGGUCUUGUAAGUCAGUGGUGAAAUCUUUGGGCUUAACCCAGAAACUGCCAUUGAUACUGCAGGACUUGAGUACAGAUGCUGUGGGCGGAAUAUGACAUGUAGUGGUGAAAUACAUAGAGAUGUCAUAGAACACCGAUUGCGAAGGCAGCUCACAAAACUGUAACUGACGCUGAGGAGCGAAAGCGUGGGGAGCGAACAGG
rnacentral:rRNA from 1 species